UGCAGUCGAGCGGACUGAUUAGAAGCUUGCUUCUAUGACGUUAGCGGCGGACGGGUGAGUAACACGUGGGCAACCUGCCUGUAAGACUGGGAUAACUUCGGGAAACCGAAGCUAAUACCGGAUAGGAUCUUCUCCUUCAUGGGAGAUGAUUGAAAGAUGGUUUCGGCUAUCACUUACAGAUGGGCCCGCGGUGCAUUAGCUAGUUGGUGAGGUAACGGCUCACCAAGGCAACGAUGCAUAGCCGACCUGAGAGGGUGAUCGGCCACACUGGGACUGAGACACGGCCCAGACUCCUACGGGAGGCAGCAGUAGGGAAUCUUCCGCAAUGGACGAAAGUCUGACGGAGCAACGCCGCGUGAGUGAUGAAGGCUUUCGGGUCGUAAAACUCUGUUGUUAGGGAAGAACAAGUACGAGAGUAACUGCUCGUACCUUGACGGUACCUAACCAGAAAGCCACGGCUAACUACGUGCCAGCAGCCGCGGUAAUACGUAGGUGGCAAGCGUUAUCCGGAAUUAUUGGGCGUAAAGCGCGCGCAGGCGGUUUCUUAAGUCUGAUGUGAAAGCCCACGGCUCAACCGUGGAGGGUCAUUGGAAACUGGGGAACUUGAGUG
rnacentral:rRNA from 2 species